rnacentral:tRNA from 1 species
UCCUGUGUGGCUCAGUUGGUAGAGCGUGGUGUUUGCAAUGCCAGGGUUGUGGGUUCGAUUCCCAUGGGAG